rnacentral:rRNA from 1 species
AGUGAACGCUGGCGGUAGGCCUAACACAUGCAAGUCGAACGGCAGCACAGUAAGAGCUUGCUCUUACGGGUGGCGAGUGGCGGACGGGUGAGGAAUACAUCGGAAUCUACUUUUUCGUGGGGGAUAACGUAGGGAAACUUACGCUAAUACCGCAUACGACCUACGGGUGAAAGCAGGGGAUCUUCGGACCUUGCGCGAUUGAAUGAGCCGAUGUCGGAUUAGCUAGUUGGCGGGGUAAAGGCCCACCAAGGCGACGAUCCGUAGCGGGUCUGAGAGGAUGAUCGGCCACACUGGAACUGAGACACGGUCCAGACUCCUACGGGAGGCAGCAGUGGGGAAUAUUGGACAAUGGGCGCAAGCCUGAUCCAGCCAUACCGCGUGGGUGAAGAAGGCCUUCGGGUUGUAAAGCCCUUUUGUUGGGAAAGAAAAGCAGCAGGUUAAUACCCCGCUGUUCUGACGGUACCCAAAGAAUAAGCACCGGCUAACUUCGUG